rnacentral:rRNA from 1 species
UACAGAGGUCGCGAGCGUUAAUCGGAUUUACUGGGCGUAAAGCGUGUGUAGGUGGUUGUACAAGUCGGUUGUGAAAUCCCCGGGCUCAACCUGGGAACUGCUUCCGAGACUGCACGACUAGAGAUCGGUAUAGGGCGGUGGAAUUUCCGGUGUAGCGGUGAAAUGCGUAGAUAUCGGAAGGAACACCAAUGGCGAAGGCAGCCGCCUGGGCCUGAUCUGACACUGAGACACGAAAGCGUGGGGAUCAAAC